AUGGAGAUGGUGGAGAAGCUUUCUCUCACCACAAGACCACAUCCACAUCCUUACUACAUCCAAUGGUUCAACAACAGCGGCAAGGUUAAGGUAACACGUACUGUUCGUGUGCAUUUUAGUAUCUCUACAUAUGCUGAUUAUGUUGAUUGUGAUGUGGUACCUAUGCAAGCAUGUUCCUUAUUACUUGGUAGACCAUGGCAAUUUGAUAAAAAUUCUGUACACCAUGGUAGAAACAAUCACUAUACUCUUGUUCAUAAGGAUAAAAAUAUUACUUUGCUUCCUAUGACUCCUGAUUCCAUUUUGAAAGAUGAUAUUAAUAGAGCUAAUAAAGCACAACAGGAGAAGAAUAAGAGUGAAAAUCAGAUUUUGGCAAAAGAAUUUGAGCAACAAAUGAAGCCUAAUAAUAAACCAUCUAGUGUUGCUUCUGAAAUUAAAUUGAAAAGUGCAUGUUUAUUUGCCACCAAAUCUGAUAUUGAUGAGCUAGAUUUCAGCAAAUCUGUUUGCUAUGCUUUUGUGUGCAAAGAGGCAUUAUUUUCAUUCGAGGACGUGCCUUCCUCUUUGCCUCCUGCUGUCACUAACAUUUUGCAGGAGUUCGCUGACGUUUUUCCACAAGACGUGCCACCGGGAUUACCGCCUAUUCGAGGGAUUGAGCAUCAGAUUGACUUAAUUCCCGGUGCUUCACUGCCAAACCGUGCACCAUACCGUACCAAUCCAGAGGAGACGAAGGAGAUUAUGCGUCAAGUACAAGAGCUUCUCGACAAAGGUUAUAUACGCGAAUCCAUUAGUCCUUGUGUUGUUCCUAUUAUUCUAGUGCCGAAAAAGGAUGGUACAUCACGUAUGUGUGUUGAUUGUAGAGGCAUUAAUAAUAUUACUAUUUGUUAUCGUCAUCCUAUUCCUAGGCUAGAUGAUAUGCUUGAUGAAUUGAGUGGCUCUACAAUAUUCUCCAAAGUUGAUUUGCGUAGUGGCUACCAUCAAAUUCGUAUGAAAUUGGGAGAUGAAUGGAAAACAGCAUUUAAAACUAAGUUUGGAUUAUAUGAGUGGUUAGUCAUGCCUUUUGGGUUAACUAAUGCACCUAGUACUUUCAUGAGAUUAAUGAACGAAGUUUUACGUGCUUUCAUUGGACGAUUUGUGGUAGUUUACUUUGAUGACAUAUUGAUUUAUAGCAGAUCUUUGGAGGAACAUUUGGAACAUUUACGUGCUGUUUUUAUUGCUCUACGUGAUGCACGUUUGUUUGGUAACCUUGGUAAGUGCACCUUUUGCACCGACCGAGUAUCUUUUCUUGGCUAUGUUGUUACUCCACAGGGAAUUGAAGUUGAUAAAGCCAAGGUUGAAGCUAUUGAGAGUUGGCCGCAGCCCAAAACGGUCACACAAGUGAGGAGUUUUCUUGGCCUCGCUGGAUUCUAUAGGCGUUUUGUGAGAGAUUUCAGCACCAUUGCUGCACCUCUCAAUGAGCUUACAAAGAAAGAUAUGCCUUUUCUUUGGGGUACCGCACAGGAAGAAGCCUUCACGGUAUUGAAAGAUAAGUUGACACAUGCUCCUUUACUCCAACUUCCUGAUUUUAAUAAGACUUUUGAGCUUGAAUGUGAUGCUAGUGGAAUUGGAUUAUGA
rnacentral:rRNA from 1 species